ACGGGAGUAGACAAUACAACUGGUGGCGACCGGCGCACGGGUGAGUAACGCGUAUGCAACCUACCUAUCAGAGGGGAAUAACCCGGCGAAAGUCGGACUAAUACCGACAUAAAACAGGGGCACCGCAUGGUGAUAUUUGUUAAAGAAAUUCGCUGAUAGAUGGGCAUGCGUUCCAUUAGGUAGUUGGUGAGGUAACGGCUCACCAAGCCGACGAUGGAUAGGGGAACUGAGAGGUUGGUCCCCCACACUGGUACUGAGACACGGACCAGACUCCUACGGGAGGCAGCAGUGAGGAAUAUUGGUCAAUGGGCGGGAGCCUGAACCAGCCAAGUCCGCGUGAAGGAAGAAGGAUCUAUGGUUCGUAAACUUCUUUUGCAGGGGAAUAAAGUGCAGGACGUGUCCUGUUUUGUAUGUACCCUGAGAAUAAGGGUCGGCUAACUCCGUGCCAGCCGCAGC
rnacentral:rRNA from 1 species